UACGGGGGGGGCAAGCGUUGUUCGGAAUUACUGGGAGUAAAGGGCUCGUAGGCGGCCAACUAAGUCGGACGUGAAAUCCCUCGGCUUAACCGGGGAACUGCGUCCGAUACUGGAUGGCUUGAGUUUGGGAGAGGGAUGCGGAAUUCCAGGUGUAGCGGUGAAAUGCGUAGAUAUCUGGAGGAACACCGGUGGCGAAGGCGGCAUCCUGGACCAACACUGACGCUGAUGAGCGAAAGCCAGGGGAGCAAACGGG
rnacentral:rRNA from 1 species